rnacentral:rRNA from 1 species
UGUCAGCAGCCGCGGUAAUACAUAGGGUGCAAGCGUUGUCCGGAAUUAUUGGGCGUAAAGAGCUCGUAGGUGGUUUAUCACGUCGGAUGUGAAAUUCUGAGGCUCAACCUCGGACCUGCAUUCGAUACGGGCAAACUAGAGUGUGGUAGGGGAGACUGGAAUUCCUGGUGUAGCGGUGGAAUGCGCAGAUAUCAGGAGGAACACCAAUGGCGAAGGCAGGUCUCUGGGCCAUUACUGACACUGAGGAGCGAAAGCGCGGGGAGCGAACAGGAUUAGAUACCCUGGUAGUCCGCGCCGUAAACGGUGGGCACUAGUUGUGGGAACCUUCCACGGUUUCCGCGACGCAGCUAACGCAUUAAGUGCCCCGCCUGGGGAGUACGAUCGCAAGAUUAAAACUCAAAGAAAUUGGCGG